rnacentral:tRNA from 1 species
AUAGCUGUAGUAUAAAUAAUGCUUUUGAUUUCCAAUCAAAGAAUCUCUAUAAAGUUGGAGUAGCUAUA